rnacentral:rRNA from 1 species
GUCCUCUUGUUUGUUUAGGAGGUCAGGCCUGCCCAGUGAGGUUUUAACGGCCGCGGUAUUUUGACCGUGCAAAGGUAGCAUAAUCAUUAGUCUUUUAAUAGGAGGCUGGAAUGAAAGGUUUAACGAGGCAUUAGCUGUCUCAUUUAUAUUAUUUAAAAUUUAAUUUUUAAGUUAAAAAGCUUAAAUUUUUUUGUAGGACGAGAAGACCCUAUAGAGCUUUACAUAACUGGUUUUAAUAUAUUUUAGUUAUAUAAUAUUAUUUUAAUUUCUAUUAUGUUUUGUUGGGGAGACAAGAAAUAAAUACUUAACUUUUUUAUUUUUAAACAUGUAUAUGUGGGUUUUUGAUCCAUUAUUAGUGAUUAUUAGAUUAAGUUACCUUAGGGAUAACAGCGUAAUCUUCUUUUGGAGUUCAAAUUUACAGGAAGGCUUGCGACCUCGAUGUUGGAUUAAGAUUAUAUUUCGGUGCAGUAGCUGAAUUUAUAGGUCUGUUCGACCUUUAAAAUCUUACAUGAUCUGAGUUCAAACCGG